UACGUAGGGGGCAAGCGUUGUCCGGAUUUAUUGGGCGUAAAGCGCGUGUAGGCGGCUCGGCAAGUCGGGUGUGAAAGCCCUGGGCUUAACCUAGGAAGUGCACUCGAAACUGCCAAGCUUGAGUUCUGGAGAGGAAGGCGGAAUUCUCGGUGUAGAGGUGAAAUUCGUAGAUAUCGAGAGGAACACCGGUGGCGAAGGCGGCCUUCUGGACAGCAACUGACGCUGAGACGCGAAAGCGUGGGGAGCAAACAGG
rnacentral:rRNA from 1 species